GGCGCAGGCCGGAUGGUCGCCCGCCACAAGUUAUUGGCGGGAGGAAAGUCCGGGCUCCAAAGGGCAGCGUAGCGGGUAACGCCCGUCCGAAGAAUAUUCAAUUCUUUGAGGAUAAGAGCUACAGAGACGAGUUUGGGAAGCGUAGUAGUAACAUAAUAAGCUUAAGCGUAUGUUACUGCUUCUCAAGGUGAAACGAGCAAUCUCUACGCGGAGCAAAACCAAAUAGGUCCAGCUUAAAGAGCUGCCCGCUCGCAAGAGCUGGACGGGUAGGUUGCAUGAUCCCGGCAGCGAUGCCGGGGCUUAGAUAGAUGAUCAUCGCCUUUUUACAAGGGUACAGAACCCGGCUUACAGGCUUGCGCCUAUU
rnacentral:RNase_P_RNA from 1 species